GCCCUGUGCCUACGCCAACCCCACCACAAGAGCCGACAUCAGGCAUGCCAGUCAAAGCAGCCCACAACGUCUAGCACUCGCCACCCCCCCCACGGAACCCAGCAGUGAUUAAUAUUAAGCCAUUGGCCCCACAACUAAAGCCUGACUUAGGUACAGAGCCAAGAGCCGGUAAACCACGUGCCAGCCACCGCAGUUAUACGAAGGGCUCAAAACAAUACUCAGCGGCACAAAAAAUGACUAGAAGCAGUUUAUUUAAAGGAAGCACUAAAACCCACGGCAAAGCCGUAAAACACAAAUCCAAUGCUGAGCCCCCACCAGAUUCCAUCAAACAAACUCCUUUGACCUCACGAAAUCUAAGACACAAACUAGGAUUAGAUACCCUACUAUGCUUAGCAGUAAACCUAGGUAGUAACCCAGCCCACUACCCGCCAGAAUAUUACAUGUGAAAAACUUAAAACUCAAAGGACUUGACGGUGUCCCACAUCACACUAGAGGAGCCUGUCCUAUAAUUGAUAACCCACCCUACACCCAACCUGCCCUUGCACAAGUCAGCCAAUAUACCGCCGCCUUCAGCCCACCUUUCAAAAGCAACAACAGUGGGCCCAACAGCCAACCCGCUAAAACGUCAGGGCAAGGUGUAGCUAACGAGCAGGAAGAGAUGGGCUACAUUUUCUCACCACAGACUACAACCAACAGC
rnacentral:rRNA from 1 species